rnacentral:rRNA from 1 species
GACGAACGCUGGCGGCGUGCUUAACACAUGCAAGUCGAACGGAAAGACCCUGCUUUUGUGGGGUGCUCGAGUGGCGAACGGGUGAGUAAUACGUGAGUAACCUGCCCUUGACUUUGGGAUAACUUCAGGAAACUGGGGCUAAUACCGGAUAGGAGCUCCUGCUGCAUGGUGGGGGUUGGAAAGUUUCGGCGGUUGGGGAUGGACUCGCGGCUUAUCAGCUUGUUGGUGGGGUAGUGGCUUACCAAGGCUUUGACGGGUAGCCGGCCUGAGAGGGUGACCGGCCACAUUGGGCCUGAGAUACGGCCCAGACUCCUACGGGAGGCAGCAGUGGGAAAUAUUGCACAAUGGGCGGAAGCCUGAUGCAGCAACGCCGCGUGCGGGAUGACGGCCUUCGGGUUGUAAACCGCUUUCGCCUGUGACGAAGCGUGAGUGACGGUAAUGGGUAAAGAAGCACCGGCUAACUACGUG